rnacentral:siRNA from 1 species
UAAGAGUUUGAAGUAUAUCUUCAA